GACGAACGCUGGCGGCGUGCUUAACACAUGCAAGUCGAACGGAAAGGCCCUGCUUUUGUGGGGUGCUCGAGUGGCGAACGGGUGAGUAACACGUGAGUAACCUGCCCUUGACUUUGGGAUAACUUCAGGAAACUGGGGCUAAUACCGGAUAGGAGCUCCUGCUGCAUGGUGGGGGUUGGAAAGUUUCGGCGGUUGGGGAUGGACUCGCGGCUUAUCAGCUUGUUGGUGGGGUAGUGGCUUACCAAGGCCUUGACGGGUAGCCGGCCUGAGAGGGUGACCGGCGACAUUGGGACUGAGAUACGGCCCAGACUCCUACGGGAGGCAGCAGUGGGGAAUAUUGCACAGUGGGCGGAAGCCUGAUGAAGCAACGCCGCGUGCGGGAUGCCGGCCUUCGGGUUGUAAACCGCUUUCGCCUGUGACGAAGCGUGAGUGACGGUAAUGGGUAAAGAAGCACCGGCUAACUACGUG
rnacentral:rRNA from 1 species